UUCCCGACCCAGGAAUCGAACCAGGGUCUCCUGCACUAUGAGUGGGUUCUUUACCAACUGAGCUACCAGAGAAGCCCAAUUCUAACUGUGGGUCCUAGUAAAAUUUUUUUAAAAAAUUGAGAAACAUUGGUCAAGAACACAAUUUCUGAUAUAAUAGACUUGCGAUGAGUACCAAUAAGAGGGAGAUGAAAAGGAAAGAAGAUAGGAUUCUCUCUAUUCAAUAAGCUUCCAGUUUUCUCACCUCCAAAAUUCCAUAAAGGUGGUGACUAUUGAAGAAUGGGAUAGACUGCUUCUGAAAAUCCUGCUUUACUGGUUCCUCAGUGAACAAAAAUUCACAACUAUGUAGGAUGCAAAAGUAACCUGAUGAACUGAAAUAUCUUGUGUUCUCCAAGAGUUCCCAUCUCCUGACACCCUGGCGAAUGGCAUUCAGUAUUAGAUAGUGGUGCAUCAGGGUUCAUGACUUUGAACCAUCUGGAGUUCAAGGUUAGAGAGCUCAGUUCAUGCCCUGUGACACGUGAUGGGUUUCUCCAGAACUGGCUUCAGCCAGCACAGGACAGUUUUACACUUUUUGAUCAGGAAUGUAGGGUCUUAAGUGAUACUGCAUAAGGUUAAUACAUUUAUUAAAAAAACUACUUUUCCUCUUGAUUCUCCCAUCAAACUUGUAGAGUAGUAAAUACAUGUUCUCCAUCUUAAUUUGACAUUUGAGGAAAAGACCUAGGGAAGUUAAAUCAUGAAUCGGAGGCUGGGGCAGAUGAAUGAGUACCUGGCUCUCUUGGUUUUUUGGAGAAGGCUCUUUAGUGCACAUGUGCAGGUAUAUUGUCUCCCAAACACACUGGUCUUGGAGGCCCAGGGCCUGGUUCAGAAGGUAUUGAUAUCAAUACCAUUAUACAUUUUAUUUAUUUAUUCAUUAAUUUAUUUAUUUGGCAUGUGGUAUGUUUGAUCAUUUUUUCGGCACAUGGGAUCUUUAGUUGUAACAUGCGAGAUCUUAUUUGGGGCUUGUGGGAUCCAGUUUCCUGACUAGGGGUGGAACCCAGCCCCCUUGCAUUGGGAGCUCAGAGUCUUAACCUCUGGACCACCAGGGAAGUCACCACCAUUACACAUCUUAUACCAUUAUGUAUUUAUACAUUGAAGCUCUAUUCAAAAGGCAUUUGAAUGAAUGAAAAUUCCCUUCUCUUCUUGCUUCACCACCUCCUCUCUUUCUUAGAAAUGAGCAGAUGGAGGAAAGGUUCAUGGAACAUUUUUCCUCUAAUUGAAAUUGUGCAAAAACUGCUCUUUAAUAAUAGAUACCCACUUAAUCCUUAUGUAUAGAUGGAAAACUGUAACAUAAGUGAUUUGAUCAAGGUAAAAACUCCAGUAGAGACAGAAAAUAUGAGAAAACAGGUUUCCUGAUUCCUAUCAAGGUGAUUGCAUAGCUAUACCACAUUGGAUCCAACCAUCAUCCACUAUCAGGCUUCUAUCACAUGUCAUUAUACAUCUGUCCUGUUUACUGGUCAUAAGUUAAUGCCAGUACCACGUGUCUCAAACUUUUAGUAAGGGAGGUUGAUUGAUUUACUUAUCUUUUCAAUUUGUUCUUCAGCUGUUGACUGAGGUAGAUUACCAUUUUGGUGAGCUGACCAUUUGCCUAGCUCCCUGGAGUUGGUCUUUACAUGUCAAGGGGAUGUUAAAAACUGUAAUGAGGGGUAAUUGUAAAGAAAAUGAGUUCCCUUUUUCUUCCUCUCACUUCCAGAAUUCUCUAGAGUGUCAGGAUACAUUGACUUUAUAAUUCAGCUUGCUGUACUGUCAGGAUCCUUCCUUUCAAGUUGGAGUAGGUUUUUCCAAAAUAUGUUCUACAGAAUAGGAGAAGUUAAUAGAAUAUAUACAUUCAAAAAAGGAAUGCCAUGUCAAGUAGAUUUGGCAAACAAUGGAUUAAAUAAAGCUGCAACAUUUAUUGUAGGACUUCCAUUAAUCUUCAGGAUGGCAAUGGAAUGAAUAGUGUUCCCAAACUCAUUUGAUUAUGCACCACUCUUUUGGGGACAGUCCUUAUAUCUCUUGAAGUACUGUCAUUUGGGAAGUACUAACUGAAAUCUGGCCUCUAUAUUUAAAGCAAAUAUAUAUUUGGGUCUCUUGACCAAGGAAGACUGAUGUGGUGAGCAGGAAGGGAUGGAUCCUUAUUAGUUUUUGUUGAUCUUUUAAUAAGUCUAAACCUUUGUUUUUAAAAAUGGAAUCCCAAGUGUUAUUUAUAGGCCUCUGACCCUAAAGAAGGGAGAGAAGCUGAGGCUGGACAGUUGUUUUUACAUGAAAAAAGGAGUGCAAAUAGGGGUCUCAUUUGUAGGAUUUUCUACAUGAUAUUCUAGUAGUUCAUUCUUGUUCUGUCUUUAGACAGUGACAUUUAUAAAGCAGUCGCCAAGCUAAUGUUAUGGUUCCUGAGAUUGUUCAUAUAGAAUUACAUGGGCUGAGACCAGAGGCCCAUGGUUCCUCCUUCCUGACUCAGGUCAGGAUAAAUAGUAUCCAUUUAACUCUUGCUCCUUCUCUUCAAAAAUCAUUUGUCACUGGGUUAUUGCUCCCGAUUAACUCUCUGGUGGAGGCAUAUUUUAAUUUUUCAUUUUCUUGUGUUUAUUAGAAGAGAUUGGGGGAAAGCUACAUGCAAAGAUCUGAGUGUGAUCCUGGGAGCUGACCUGCAGUUAAAAAAUGUAAGGGAGGCAAAGAUUGUUUGCAGGUUUUCAUAUCUUUGAGGGUCCCUCCAAUGCUGGGGCCCAGUCAGGGUUCCUGGGUUCCUUUUAGCUGACAAAGCCAUUUACACUGGGCUGUCCACACAUAAUGAGUUAUACAGACUGCAGAGGAAGCAAUCCUUCACCCAGAGGGUGACAUCCUUGCCUCUGGAAUUUUCAGAUGUCAGUGAUAGGUGAAGAUGAGCUUUUUUGGCCAAGAGGAAUCUUUCAAACCAGGGACUCACCUGUGACCAGGCUAUUACUGAGACUAUGUCAAGACUCAUGUAAACCUUCAGCUGUGGAUGAGGACCCAGCUCACCUGUGCUGAAUGGACAUAUUUCUAGAUUCCUUCACAUUUGAAACGCUUGUCUCCCAUGUCUGUGAGGGAUUAGUGUUUUUCCACUUUAAAGGAAAAACAGGCCAUAAAUGACUGAGGAAUUUUAUGGGACUGUCCAAAGCACAGACUGGAAGCCAAGGGAAAAUAAAAGUCCAGCUUCUUUGUGGAAAAUCAAAUGGAAAAGAGAGAUUGCUUCCUGACAAAAGGGAGGUUCUGCCUUGUGGGAGUGGAGGGAUAAGAGACUUAGGAACUCCUCUUCUGGUGCCUCUGAGGAGUUUAGCAGAACUCUGGACCUCAAAACGAUUUGAAGGCAAAGGGAAGCAGGUGUUUGAACUGUUUGGAAAGCGGGUGAGAGGAGUGAUUAUUUUUGGUAGCAAGAUUUUUGUGUUUGGAUCAUGCUUGUUAUAGAUCCAGUAUCUUAAUUUACAUGUGCCUUAGUAAGGCAAAGAAUUCCCCAGGUCAUUCAUAUACCUGCUUCUAAUUCGAGGUUCAUUAAGUAUUGGAGAGGGAAAAGAAGGGGUGGCAUGGAAGUUUUCUGACGCUGGGAGUUUCUCUCCCAACCAGGGAGAAAGUGAACAGAUCCUGCGGGCUUGACCUCCUUAUAAAUUACAGACAAACAGAGUAGUCUAGAGCGCUGUAUGUUGCAAAACAAAAGAGGUCCGGUACGAGAAAGCACAUCAUAUACCUACAUAAAGCAGUGUCCUUUCUAGAAACUGUUUCCCAAACCAGGAAGACCCAACAAACCUAAGCCUUCAACUCGUCUCAGCUGAACUUUUCUGACAGUGGCCACACAUGACACUGUCUUUGCUUUCAUGCCUUCAUCCCAUCUCAGGAGAGGUGGGGAGACUGUGACUCGUAUUGGGUGGGGGAUGGUAAAUACAAUCAUUUCACUGUCAUUUUUUGGUUUCAGAACUGGAGUGAAUCUAAAUGAAUCAUAACAGUUGCAUUUAAUAAAUUCUCUUGGGUAUUGGCUAAUUUUAAACCGGUCUGACAAGUUUUAAGGUCCAUGUGGUUUGGGAAAUUCACUGGUGCAUUUCCUCAUUUGGUCACCCCUUAUUUCCCUCCAGCCUCGUUCCUUUACAGCAAGCUGAUCUACUUGGCACGGUUAUCUUUGCUCAUCUGAGGUUGAGAGGAGGGGAGGCUGGGGAGGGGCUGAGCUGAAGGUCAUGCAAGAAGCAUUCAGGCCUCUCUCGUGAGCCAGCACCGCUGGGAAUUCCCCAGGGUCUCUGGGAGCUGGCCUUCAGCUCACAGAGGCCACCAGGUGAAAGACCACCACUUACCAGGAGGCUCCCACCUGGCAGAUGGAGCUGGAGAGGGGGCAAAACUCUGAUUGCGGAAAUGAAAGUAUCUCAGCAUUUUGCUUUUCAUCAAAGUCACUGCCUCCACUCCAGGCAUGAGCAGCUUUAGCUGGCCUAUCAACAUUGACUUUCUCCCUUGGCUCUAUUAUCAUGGUGGUUAAUGGAUGCCAGGUCUGUGGUUGUUGUUUUUUUUUUUUUUUUCUGGUGGGGGUGGUGAGAAAUUAUUUAUUAUCAGAGUGAGAUCUUCUGGGCUAUGAGGAAGUUCAGGGAGCCCCGAGACAGCUUCAUUGGAGACAAUCAUUACCAGAAUCAUCCCCAAUCUCAGGUUGUCCGCCUUUCCCCUCCCUUCUCUGCUGGAUGUUCAGCCCUGUGGAUGUUUUAUAGCUCACCUGAGCAGGUUCCCCCAGUAGCCUGGGUUUUGAUAAUCGUUUGCCUCACAGGGCAAGCAAUACAGUGAUUGAAAUAUUCCUGUGAAGAUUUUUAAAAACCAAAACAAGAACAACAAAACCGUUUAAACCACUGAAACAGUUUAACAGUGCAGAGCCCUUUCCUUGCUUAACACAUGCAGUUCAGAAUGACAUCCACGAAGACCAUAUUUUUACAGUAAGAGGAUAACUCCAUUCCAGGCCGCAGUGUGGACAGAGAGGAUGGUUCUGCCUGAAGUAAAUUCUGACCUACCCACCAAAAGAAAGCUGGGAAGGGGUGCUGCAAGGUGCAGAUACCAUCACCUUCUGCAUUCUCUGUCUGACACCGACAUUGUUCUAUUGUGAUGGAAGAUUUGCUUUAAUAAGGAGGGCAGUGAAAAGCUCAGUCCAGGUUCUCAGGAGGUUUCGAGUAAAGGCAGCAUUUGCCCCUCCUUCUGUGGUCCGUCACUGCUAGCUGUUGAAGGAGGGAGGUGUCAAGCAUCUCUGUUCUUGCCUUUUCUCUUCCUCAUUUCUAGAUCAUUAGAGCAUUCACUUGUUCAUUCAAUAAAUCAUUAGAGAGCCCCUGCCUUGGGCCAGGCAUCAAGCUAGGUCCUGGGGGUAUCACUAGGGUCAUGACUGAUAUAUGUACGUUGACCUCUGAGGGCUUCUACUCAGAUGGGGAACAGAUAAGUAAAUGGGCAGUUAUGUAGUAUGAACAGCGCUGUGAUUUUGGCUGUGGGGAUACUUGAAAGGGACCUCAAUCUAGAUUGUGGGAUAGGGGGAGGCUUUUGGGAGAAGGUCACAUUUUAGCAGAGGCCUGAAAUGAGAAACUGGAAACAUGACUGUGUUGUGAGAUGGACUGGCGGGUGGGAGUAGGUUGGAGGUGUGGGCUAGAGUAAUGUUUUUUUGUCAGCUGGACCCUCCCUCCACCACCCUCCCUCUCUUGCUGUCUCCCUCCCUCCCUUUCUCCCUCCUCUCUCCCUUCUUUCCUUGAGAGAAUCUUUGGACCAUGAGGAGCUGCUUCGGGUGCAUAGUAAUUUAUAUGUCCUGUGGCAAGUGAGGAAUGACGAUUCCAGAGAAGCAUGGAACUUCAAACCCACAGUGGAUUUCAGAGGACAUUACCUAACCCUCUGUCUCCUGCCCUCACUCUUCCUUGAUUUCGCCAGUGAAGAAAAUGAAGUUCAAGAACUAAUGUGACUUGCCCAGGCCCCUCAACUGAUGAACAGCAGGACCUGGACUGGAACACACACCUCUUUUGGCUCUGUUACUUGCCAGACACAGUUCCAGUGCUUUACAUGCCUGAUAUUUAAUCUUUAUUAACAUCUCUAUGUACUAGAGCUGCUUCCCUGGAGGCUUAGAUGGUAAAGAGUCUGCCUGCAAUGUGGGAGACAGGGGUUCAAUCCCUGGGUCAGGAAGAUCCCCUGGAGAAGAAAAUGGCAACCCACUCCAGUAUGCUUGCCUGGGAAAUCCCAUGGACGGAGGAGCCUGGCAGGACAGUGUCUAUGGGGUCACAAAGGGUCAGACACGACUGAGCGACUAACACACUAUAUACCGUCUGUGAUAUUAUUUCUUGUUUACAGAUGAGGAAACUGAUCUCCAGAGAGUUUAACCCCCCUCCGCCCCGCCCCAAGGUCACACAACUAGCUCAGGAGAAAGGAUUUGAACCUAGCCUGACUGCAGAGACUACCCCAUCUCCACAUUGCUGAUUACUACCCUACACUCCCUCCUACCAGAAUCUCAAUUUGCAGUAUUUCUGCUACCUUGACAUUUUUCCUACCCUCACAGAGCUGCUGUCUUUUCAGAGAGAAAAGAUGGCUUCAGUACAACACAGAUGAGAAAGCCCAGCUGAGGGAAGGGUUGGCUGAGGAAGUAGCCUGUCAGUUCACCUCUUGGGAUUCAUUUUCUUCAUUAGUGAAGUAAUGUUCUCUGAAGUGCACUGGCUGGUAGGUCGCUGGCUGGACUUCAGACCAAUAGCUGAUGACUGUCACGAGGCAGAGGAGUUCAGACUUGGUCUUGAUCAGUUCGGGGUGGUGGUGGGUGUCAGUAUAAGGUUCUAGGCAGUGGGACAUGAAGAAUGAAAACCUGAGAGGCUUUUUUCUUCCAACCAUGUUUCUCUGGAGACUGAUCUCCCAAGAGGACACACCUGGUCACUGAGGUCCACAGGGGAACUUAUUGCCUUUGGUUGCAUUCAAGUUCCUCUUCAGAUGAGGAAGGUUGAGUCAGGAUUUGGACUUCUAGGAAGCUCUCACUCUCAACUAGAGUUCUGUCUUUGCAAUGGUACCUCCACUUCUGCUCAUCAUCCCCUCUACUGCCCCUCCCCGCAGUAUUCCUAACAUUCCUACCCACCCCUACCAAGGAAUCCUGGAUGGGGUUUCAUCAUUGGUACUGACGGAUAUUCUUCUAAGUCGGUGCAUUUUCUUCUGCUAACCUCUGUUUCAGUACUAUGGGGACUUCAUAGGGAAAUGUUCUCCUUAGGGGAAUGUUUUCCCCUUCGGAUGGCCCUCCUUCUAUCUGCAUAACAGCAAGAAAACACUACUGCCACCUAGUGGGACUUCAGAGUGUGACCUUCGGCGCUCCUCCUCCUGACCCCAGCACAUUAUUUCUGUUAUUAAAAUUUUAGCUAAGGAGCA